rnacentral:rRNA from 1 species
UUGAGUUUGAUCAUGGCUCAGAUUGAACGCUGGCGGCAGGCCUAACACAUGCAAGUCGAGCGGCAGCACGAGAAAGCUUGCUUUCUUGGUGGCGAGCGGCGGACGGGUGAGUAAUACAUGGGAAUCUGCCCGAUAGUGGGGGACAACGUUUCGAAAGGAACGCUAAUACCGCAUACGUCCUACGGGAGAAAGCAGGCUUAGGCUUGCGCUAUCGGAUGAGCCCAUGUCGGAUUAGCUUGUUGGUGAGGUAAUGGCUCACCAAGGCGACGAUCCGUAACUGGUCUGAGAGGAUGAUCAGUCACACCGGAACUGAGACACGGUCCGGACUCCUACGGGAGGCAGCAGUGGGGAAUAUUGGACAAUGGGGGCAACCCUGAUCCAGCCAUGCCGCGUGUGUGAAGAAGGCCUUCGGGUUGUAAAGCACUUUCAGCGAGGAGGAAAGCAGUAAGGUUAAUACCCUUAUUGUGUGACGUACUCGCA